CUCUCCACCCGGCGCCAUCCUCGCUAACUCCCUGAUUGCUGUGGGCAACCUCAGCACCAUGACACCUGCCGUGGAGCCAGAGCUGGAGACACACCUCCUCCGAGCUGCCCUGCAUGCCUUCACCCUGGGCAUGGAGAAGGACACCACCCAAGUGCAGGAUCUGCCUAGGGUCUUGCCAGACCUCCUGGACGCCAUGCUGGGGAACCUGCUGGCAGAGUCCCCAGACACCGACAGGCUCCAGUACAUCUUGGAGGUGAACCCGAUGAAAGGGGUGGGGGCUCAGAU